rnacentral:rRNA from 1 species
CGUCCCCUUCGGGGGCAGAGUGACAGGUGGUGCAUGGUUGUCGUCAGUUCGUGUCGUGAGAUGUUGGGUUAAGUCCCGCAACGAGCGCAACCCUUGAUCUUAGUUGCCAGCAUUCAGUUGGGCACUCUAAGGUGACUGCCGGUGACAAACCGGAGGAAGGUGGGGAUGACGUCAAAUCAUCAUGCCCCUUAUGACCUGGGCUACACACGUGCUACAAUGGACAGAACAAAGGGCAGCGAAACCGCGAGGUUAAGCCAAUCCCACAAAUCUGUUCUCAGUUCGGAUCGCAGUCUGCAACUCGACUGCGUGAAGCUGGAAUCGCUAGUAAUCGCGGAUCAGCAUGCCGCGGUGAAUACGUUCCCGGGUCUUGUACACACCG